rnacentral:lncRNA from 1 species
UAAAUUUUUAUAUGAGAAAGAGAAAUUAUAGUUUUUUAUUUUAUAUAAAUCUUAUGUAUUGAGAAAAAAAAUUACAAAAAGAACACAAAUUAAUUUUUUUUUAAAUUGGACAUCCAAAUUUGUUUUUGACUAACUCCUUUCUAAUGACUAAUGGAGGAGGAGUGUUCUACCAAAUGAAGUCAGGUAAAAAUAAACCAAUAUAUGUGAGUAAUAACAAAAUUGUGGAGACAAUUGUUCUAUUCGUUGUUUAGCUCCCAAGGAACAAUGUUAAGAUUCUUAAAAGUCAAAGUUGCCAAACUUAGAAUUCCAACCCUUAAUAGUUGUUUGUUCAAUUGUCAAUAUAAUGUCUAUUAGUUCAGCAUAGAGAGAGUUAUGAGCACCAUGGUUUGUGGCAAAGUCUCCCAUGAAGUCUCCGGAAGCAUACAUAAAUAACCAUACUAAAAAUGUAGGCCUAAGAGAUUCAAGUACAAAUUCAUUUGUGUUGCAUUUCAUCCUAUAGGUAUUGGGAUGAUACCAUAUCACUUCUCUUCUUUGAUUUGAGUAACCUUAAAGAAAUUAUAGUUUAUUUUAAGUUUAAUUACAAUUUACUAUUUUUAUUUUAACUUAUUCACAUAAUCUUUCUAUUUUAAAUUAAAAUACUUUUGAUCUACUAUUCCCAUAUUUGUACAUAAAAAAUGAUCAUCAAUGAAAAUAGUAGGAUUUUAAUGAUGGGAACUACAAAGAAACACUUUAAGAUUUUCAUCAAGAAAUUUCAUUGAGUUAGAACUUCUCAUUCUACUCAUUGUCUUCUAGCCAUUUUUUUCUCUUUGUUACUUUUAUCUCAAGUUUUUCUUGUAUGAGUGUCGUUGUUCUC